rnacentral:rRNA from 1 species
UACGGAGGGAGCUAGCGUUAUUCGGAAUUACUGGGCGUAAAGCGUACGUAGGCGGCUUUGUAAGUAAGAGGUGAAAGCCCGGAGCUCAACUCCGGAACUGCCUUUUAGACUGCAUCGCUUGAAUCCAGGAGAGGUGAGUGGAAUUCCGAGUGUAGAGGUGGAAUUCGUAGAUAUUAGGAAGAACACCAGUGGCGAAGGCGGCUCACUGGUCCGGUACUGACGCUGAGGUGCGAAAGCGUGGGGAGCAAACAGG